UUGAUAAAGUUUAAGAGUUUUGAAAAAAAUAUUUUGCAAAAACUUUUUUCUUAUAAAUGGAAAUACAGAAAGAUCAACUUCUUAAAAUGAGUCUUGAGGAAAUUGUAAAACUUACUAAAGGGGAUUUAAAAAAAGUGGGUGAAAUAAUUGAACAAAUUAAUAAAGAUGUCGAACCAGAAUCGUCUUCUAGUUCAUCUUCAACUCAUAAAUCGUCUUGGAUGAAUAAAUAUUUUUUAACACCAACAUCAGCUAAUGAAAUUGUACUAAAUAAACUAAAUUUGAAAAAAUUAAAAACCAUUGCAAGAAGGCAAGGUUUAAAGAACUACUCAAAAUAUAACUCAAAAACUAAAUCAGAUCUUGUAAAAUUAAUUUUAAAAGAAGAACUCAAUGCUGGAGAUUGGCAUAACAAACUAAGCAGGAUUAGUAUUAAAAAAUUAAAAUCAAUUGCUAGCAAACUAAACUUAAACAUAAAGAGAAAUAGUAAAAAAAUAGAUCUAUUGAAUCAAAUUUCAGAUAAUGUAAACAAUGAUAAUUUAAACACACUUCUUAAUGAAAUUGAAUUGCCAAGUCUAGAAGAAAUAUUGAAGGAAAUAUUGAAGGAAAUAUUAGAGAAAUCGACACAAAAUAAAACGUUGAAAGAACUAAGAAAACUUGCCAAAGAAAAGAAUAUCAAAGGUUACUCAAAAAUGAAGAAAGCAGAAUUAUUACAAAAAAUUGGUGAGGAACCUUUUGCAAUCGAAGAUGAUUAUUUUUCAGAGUUUUCAACAAAACCUAAAUUUAAAAUAAUAGAAACAAAAGCUGAAUACAGCAAAAAAUGGAAUACACAUAAAGUUUACUAUAAAAUUAUAUUAUUGAAAGAUGAAGAAGAAUCGUUAGAGUCCGAUGUUUCUGACAUAAUUAUGAAAAAAAUUAGUAUCAUUAGAGAAGGAUUGAAUGAUAUGAUUAAAACAGUAAAAGAGAAAACAAAAUUUAAACAAGGAGACUUAUUAAAUAUAGUAGUUAACCACACCCAUCUUUGGACACCUAUUUCCACCGGAUUAUCAAGAACGACUGAUGUUGAUAAUUUAUUAAACAAAAUUCAACGUAUCUUAACUUCAAAUCAAGAUUUAGAUAUAUACACUUGUACAUUUAAUGUAGAAGUAGUUAAUAUACCUAGAGGUGCCACUAAUGCGAAAAGAUUGUUAAAUAUAGCAGAAGACUCAAGAACAAAGAAAAGUAUAACACAAAUAAAAAAUAAAGAUAGAUUAUGUUGUCCAAGAGCCGUUAUUGUUGGAUUAACUUAUCAUACAAACAUUAUACUCGGUAAGGAAUAUAAUGAUAAUGAAUUAAAAUAUAUAAGAAUGGGAAGAAAUUUACAAACAACUUUAGCUCAAGAGCUAUGUAAUCAGCUUGGAGAAUAUAAUGAAGAGUAUUUUACCUUACAUGAUAUUACAAGUAUAGAAAAAGUAUUAAAUAUUCAAAUAAAAGUCGUAGCAGCGGAAUGCUUUAAUUCCAUAAUAUAUUCGGGGCCUGAAAAAGAUAUAAAAAUAUAUUUAUAUAAAAAUGGAAAUCAUUUUGAUACAAUUGGUAGUAUGACAGCUUUCUAUGGUCAAUCUUAUUAUUGUAAAAAAUGUGAUAAACCAUAUCAAAACAAAGAUAUACAUAAAUGCAAAACAAAGGAUAAUAUAUGCAUAAUGUGUUUCAAAUCUAAUCACAAAGAAAACUCUGCUAAAAGAAUAUAUUGCGAAAAAUGCAAUAGAUACUGUUUUAAUCAAGAAUGUUUAGAAAAUCAUUCUGAAGUUUGUGAAAGAUUUCAUAAAUGCUUAAAGUGUAAUAAAAUACUCAAAAGAGGUGAUAAAAUGGUUGACGAAGGUAAAAAAAUGAUUGAAGAAGGAAAUAGAUUAAUUCGUGGACUGCGGAGCAGCAGUCCGAAGAGACGACUCUGUCCACUCAUGAAGGCGAAGCCGAUUUGUACAAAACCGAAAAUGAUCCAAAAAUGUAAUAAAAUCGUUGAAAGAGGUAAUAAAAUGAUAAAAAAAGGUAAUAAAAUGAUAGAAGAGGGUAGUAAAGAACACAAAUGUGGCUGGGAAAAAUGUAGAAAUUGUUAUAAAGAGGUUGAAAUACGUAAACAUAAAUGUUACAUGCAAUGGAAGCGGCAAAAAGGUGGAAUCUGUCAAACUAAAAUAAAAGACUGGCAGGGCCAGCGUCCACACAGUGGACUAGUCCGUAGCAUGCCCAGAGGCAAAGCCGAAGACGGUGGUAAAGAAUACAAAGUAAAAGGUUGUAAAAAUUGUGAUAGAAAAGGUUGUACAGUAACUUUUCCUGAUAAAACAAACAAAAGAGUAAAAUAUCACAUUUAUCAAUGUAAAGAAUGUAAAAAUUGUGUUAAAAUACCAAGAAAGACUGGCAGGGCCAGCCCAGAGUUCACCAAAGGGUGCGGAGCACAAGUCAAAGACGGUUCACGAGGGGAUUUAAAGAUCCCGGAGUCGAAGACGAAGAACGAAAACGGUUAUCAAUGUCUUAAUUGCGGAUGUUCAUUUAAUACAACUAAAUGCUCUUACACACAAAAAUAUUUAUUCUUUGAUUAUGAGGCGAUGCAAGAAACGGGCAAACACGUACCUAAUUUAGUUAUAGCUCACGAUUUUUACGGUAAUGUUGAUUCUUUUAAGACUAACAAAGAUUUCUGUAAAUGGUUAGUUUCUAGAGAUCAUAAAGGAUACACAGCUAUUGCACAUUAUGGUAAAGGUUAUGAUUCUUACUUUAUUCUAAAAUAUUGCGUUGAAAACGGUAUUAAACCUUUCUGCAUAUAUAAUGGAUCUAAAAUAAUGUUAAUGGAAAUAAAAUCAAUUAAUUUAAGAAUUAUUGAUAGUAGUAAUUUUGUUCAAGGACCUUUAAAAAACUUCCCUAAAACAUUCGGUCUAAACGAACUUAAAAAAGGUUAUUUUCCACAUUUUUUCAAUACAACAGAAAAUCAGAACUAUAUUGGAAAAAUACCAAAUACAAAAUACUAUGGGGUUAAUUCUAUGAAAAUAAAAGAUAGGGAAGAGUUUUUAGAAUGGCAUAAACAAAAAAGAAAAGAAAAUUAUUUAUUUGAUUUUAAAAAUGAACUUUAUGAUUAUUGUAAUUCUGAUGUGGAUAUAUUAAGAAGAGGAUGUCUUGAAUUAAGAAAACAAUUUCUAGAAAUAGCUAACAUAGAUCCUUUUAGAUACAUUACAAUUGCUGGUGUUUGUAUGGCUAUAUAUAGAUCAAAAUAUAUUAAGAAAGAUACAAUUGCAGUUGUUGAUAAUCUAAAAAAAGAUCAAUAUUCUCAACAAUCAAUUUCUUGGUUGAAUAGUUUUCAUAAUCCAAAUAUAAAACAUGCAUUAAACGAUGGUGAAGUGAGAAUAUGUGGAUCAAAAGUUGAUGGCUUUGAUGAAAAAUCUAAUACAGUCUAUCAAUAUCACGGUUGUUUUUGGCAUGGUUGUACAAAAUGUUAUAGUUCAAAUUUUAUUAAUAAUAAGAAUAAAACAACUAUGGAAGAUCUUUAUGAACAAACAAUGGAAAGAAGCGAGCAAAUAAAAAAAGCUGGCUAUAAUUUAAUAGAAAUGUGGGAAUGCAAUUGGAUUAAAUCUAGAGAAUAUAAAGAAGAAAUGAAACAAAUUAAAAGCAAAUAUAAAGAAAUUGAAGAACUUAAUCCUAGAAAUGCAUUCUUCGGAGGAAGAACUAAUGCUACAAAACUAAAAGUUAAUGGAAAGAAAAUGAAAUAUAUAGAUAUUUGUAGUUUAUAUCCAACAGUACAAUGUUAUGAUGAUUAUCCAGUUGGACAUCCUACUAAAAUAUUCAAACCUCCUACAUAUAAUUCAAAAUGGUAUGGUUUAAUAAAAUGUGAAAUUUUACCACCAAGAGGUUUGUAUCACCCUGUUUUACCUGUUAAAAAUAAAAAUAAAUCUGGCGAUGAAAAACUAACAUUUCCAUUAUGUCAAUUGUGUGCAAAAUUAAAUAAUCAAAAAGAUAAAUGUACUCAUACGGAAUCUCAAAGAAUUGUCAGAGGAACCUGGUGUACAAACGAAGUAAAAAAGGCAAUUGAAAAAGGAUACAAAAUAAUAACUAUUAAUGAGGUUUGGCAUUUUGAACAAAAAUCGAGUUAUUUGUUUAAAGGAUAUGUAAAAGCAUUUAUGAAAAUAAAGUUAGAGACAAGUGAGUGGAGAAAUGAUUUUGAAUCAGAAGAAGAAUAUAGAAAAGCCGUAAAAGAAAAUCUAGGUAUUGAAUUGGGUAAAAUAGAAAAUAAUCCUGGAAAGAGAGCUGUUGCAAAAAUCUGCUUAAAUUCCUUAUGGGGUAAAUUUGGUCAAAGACAAAAUAUGGGCGCAACAGAAUAUGUUACAGAUAUUAAGAGAUUUUAUGAGAUUUUAUUAGACGACAGACUUGAUAAUAUACAUAUCAAUGAAUUAAACGAAAAUAUGUUACAAAUUGAUUACAAGUAUAAAGGUUGCUAUGUAGAAAAUGAUUUCAAUACCAAUAUAUUCAUAGCGGCUUUUACAACCGCAAAUGCUAGACUAAGAUUGUACGAAAUGUUAGACAUAUUAGGAGAAAGUGUAAUAUAUUAUGAUACAGAUAGUAUUGUAUAUAUAGAUAAUGGUAAAAACACUGUUAAAACAGGUUGUCUAUUGGGAGAUUGGACCGAUGAAUUAGGUAAGGACGUAUGGAUUGCUGAUUGGGUAUCAACAGGUCCAAAAAGUUAUUGUUAUAAAACUAAUACAGGUAAAGUUGUUUGCAAAAUUAAAGGAUUUACAUUAAACUAUGAAACGUUCGAAAAGAUUAAUUCCGAUAGCAUGAAUAAUAUUUUAGAACACAAAGACAGUAAAAUCAGUACACAAUAUAAUCGAAUUAGUAGAGAUACUAAAACUAAAGAACUUUUAAAUAAAAUAGAAACAAAGGAAUUUGGUUUUGUUUAUGACAAGAGAGUUAUUCUAGAAAACUUUGACACAAUACCGUUUGGAUUUUAAUCCUUUUCGUUGGUGCCUUUGAAUUUGUUCAAUUGCUCAACCAAACUAAGAUGUUGAAAUUUAAAUUAUUCUACUCAUGGUUCCAACCAGGUAAAAAUCCCUAGAAAACACUGGUGAGUGGUGAGUAAUAAACGUAAAAUCACUAAAAAGUGACAGUUGACACUCUGUGGUUGUUGACAUGUAACGAACAUAACAAAUUGUUAGGUCUUAACGUUCUUUAUUUUUUAUCCACAAUACCUUCUUUUGAGCAACAUGGAGGAUGAUUCUCGUGUUUUUGAGGCAUCACUUCCUUUUGUCCGCGCAUUAAAAGAACUCCAAAUUCUUCAAUCUAAAAAAAAAAAAAUGGCCGAAGUGGAGACCAAAAUACUGGGAGAUGGUGAAAUAUCCCUACAUUAUCCAACCGCAGUUAAAACCUUUAUAGGAACUGUGGCUGUGGUAAAAAUACAUGAUUCUUAUCACUUUGAGUCAAGAUCCAUCGGCGUAAGACGUGCUAUUGUGCCGUGGGAAGAAGUGGCAUGUAGUAAUGUAUCAGAAAAUACAAUCAUUUUACAAUUCAAACCAGAUUAUGCCUAUGAAAAAUGUACAGUUAAAUUUUUUCAAAAUUCACAGGUUAAUGAAUUUAUAUCCUUCCUACCAGCGAUUCAAAAACCUGCGCCUAUACCCAAUGAUUCAAGUUUUAGUUCUGAAUCUGAUUAUGACGACUCGGGCAAUGAACAAACCCACCGACUUUCCCAAGAAAACUUGUAUCAACCAGAAGUGUUGGAGGAUUUCCAAGAAUUAUAAACUUUACUUUGUUAUCUAGUUAUUAAUAAAUUAGGGCAAAAUUCUUAAAA